AUUUAAGUGUGGCCAUUUUUUCUUUCAUUUAAGUUGCACAUUUCAGUGAAAAAUUAUUAUGAUUUAUUAUGGAUGUGGAGAUGAUACACAAAGUCUGAGACCAACCACUGCACCGAGCGGGAUCUCAGUCCCUCCAAGAACCACACCCUAUGCCGCAUCAGUUCCCGUUCAACAGCAGGUGUCCAGAUCCAGAUCGCAAACCGCCUCGGUACCAGAAAGAACUUAUAUCCCGGCACGACAGAAAGUUACGGCUCAAAACAACAGCGCUUUGGUUAGAGAACUGAACAGCAAAAGAUCGACAACUCACAGUUUUGAAAAAGUAAUGGAUGUAGAAAACUGAUUUUUACCGAAGUGAAACUGAGAAACCGCAUUACGGUAAUACAUACAUUCUAAAGGUCCCAAUUUCUGGAUACGGAAUUACAUUUUACGCAGUUGUUAGUGGAGAAAUGUACGGGUUAUAACAACAUUUUGGUUCUUUGGAUUGCAUAUACAUUUUGCAGCCUCUAAAUUUACAUGGCACAAAUGAGUGGCGAGAUCAAAUGGCACGUGAAUUUUUUUAGGCAGUAAGGACAAGGGAGUGGAAGAGAUAUGCAUGGAUCCAACGCUGCUCAUUUUUAAAUAACCCAUUCUUCACUACCUAACUCACUAUAGAAGAUUGUCGACAUUUUUUCGAGGAGGGUGAUACUAUUUAUUCUGAAAAAUAGAACAAAACCCAGCCGGUGAAAUUGUUGGAGUUCUUCCUGAUACAUUUUUUUAACUGA